rnacentral:rRNA from 1 species
GCUGGCGCGAGCCAACCCAGCGAACUGAAACAUCUUAGUAGCUGGAGGAAAGGAAAGUAAAAACGACUCCCUAAGUAGCGGCGAGCGAACGGGGAAGAGCCUAAACCGAUGGUUUCGACCAUCGGGGUUGUGGGACAGCAACGUGUAUCAGGAAUGUUAGGAGAAGUGUUUGAAUGGCACGCCACAGAGGGUGAAAGCCCCGUAUCUGAAAACUGAACUGAGCUAGCUGUAUCCCGAGUAGCACGGAGCACGUGAAAUUCCGUGUGAAUCCGCGAGGACCACCUCGUAAGGCUAAGUACUACUGUGUGACCGAUAGCGAAACAGUACCGCGAGGGAAAGGUGAAAAGAACCCCGGGAGGGGAGUGAAAUAGAACAUGAAACCGUGAGCCUACAAGCAAUGGGAGCCCUACUAAUAGGGUGACCGUGUGCCUGUUGAAGAAUGAGCCGGCGACUUAUAGGCACUGGCGGGUUAAACUGGAAAUGGUGGAGCCAUAGCGAAAGCGAGUCUGAAUAGGGCGUUUGUCAGUGUUUAUAGACCCGAACCCGGGUGAUCUAACCAUGGCCAGGAUGAAGCUUGGGCGAUACCAAGUGGAGGUCCGAACCGACUGGCGUUGAAAAGCCAGCGGAUGAGCUGUGGUUAGGGGUGAAAUGCCAAUCGAACCCGGAGCUAGCUGGUUCUCCCCGAAAUACGUUGAGGCGUAGCGUCUCGUGCUCCAGCAGGGGGGUAAAGCCACCAUUUCGGUGCGGGCUGCGAGAGCGGUACCAAAUCGAGAUGAACUCUGAAUACCCUGUGUGUAGCGAGGCAGU